UCCCGAUUAUAAUUCCUGCGUUAUUGGUUGUCAAACUUCAGCCAGUGAUCAUGAGAAGACCGUAUGCCUUAAUAAAUGUAGCCAUAAUCUUAUUGGACGAUGAUAAAAUAUGGAAUGUAUUUUCUUCGAAAUAAACAAUAAAAAUUAUAUUUAGU